rnacentral:rRNA from 1 species
UACAGAGGGUGCGAGCGUUGUCCGGAAUUAUUGGGCGUAAAGAGCUCGUAGGCGGUGUGUCGCGUCGGCCGUGAAAACCUGCAGCUUAAACUGUGGGCUUGCGGUCGAUACGGGCAUCACUGGAGUUCGGCAGGGGAGACUGGAAUUCCUGGUGUAGCGGUGAAAUGCGCAGAUAUCAGGAGGAACACCGGUGGCGAAGGCGGGUCUCUGGGCCGAUACUGACGCGAGGAGCGAAAAGCGUUGGGAGCGAACAGGAUAGAAACCCCAGAGGUC